rnacentral:rRNA from 1 species
CCAAUAGCGUAUAUUAAAGUUGUUGCAGUUAAAAAGCUCGUAGUUGAAUUUCGGGAUCAGUACGCUGGUCGUGCCUUGGUAUGUACUGGUGUUACUGGUUCCUACCUUCUGACGAACCGUCAUGUCAUUAAUUUGGUGUGGCGGGGAAUCAGGACUGUUACUUUGAACAAAUUAGAGUGUUUAAAGCAGGCUCGCGCUUGAAUACAUUAGCAUGGAAUAAUGAAAUAGGACGUUUGAUCCUAUUUUGUUGGUUUCUAGGAUUGACGUAAUGAUUAAUAGGGAUAGUUGGGGGCAUUAGUAUUCAAUUGUCAGAGGUGAAAUUCUUGGAUUUAUUGAAGACUAACUACUGCGAAAGCAUUUGCCAAGGAUGUUUUCAUUAAUCAAGAACGAAAGUUAGGGGAUCGAAGACGAUCAGAUACCGUCGUAGUCUUAACCAUAAACUAUGCCGACUAGGGAUCGGAUGAUGUUAAUUUUUUAAUGACUCAUUCGGCGCCUUACG